rnacentral:lncRNA from 1 species
GAGUGUUUAGUGCUGUCGUCACUGCUCUUGAUUGUUUGACCCUGGGAGAAAGUUCUGCCACAGGGGGAGAUAUGUGUCUGAAACCGAGGGACUGGAACAGACAGAAUAGGAGAGGGAUACCGCGAGCGUGAGAGCCUCGGCUCAGGCUUUGACCAUUCAGCUACCGGACGCCAUUGUGGCUGAGAGACUGGAGGCUCAGGAGGCUAGAGGAAGAUGUUGACCCCAUGGGGGUUGUUCCUCUGCCAGCUGGCAAUAAUCACAUCCUACCAUGUCAUCAAAGCCAGCCUCUGCCUGGGUGGGUCGGACAUCUUUGCAACGGUGAGCGAGAACAGCCCCGUAGGAGAGUUCAUAGCGAACCUCAGCAUCAUCGGGGACCCUACAGGAGUCAAUAGCAUCCGCUUGUGCCUCACCGGAGAGAACGCCAAUUGGUUCUACCUUGAAGGGAGAACCAUCAGGCUAAACUCAUCCG